ACGGGUGAGUAACACGUGGGUGAUCUGCCCUGCACUUCGGGAUAAGCCUGGGAAACUGGGUCUAAUACCGGAUAUGACCUCAGGUUGCAUGACUUGGGGUGGAAAGAUUUAUCGGUGCAGGAUGGGCCCGCGGCCUAUCAGCUUGUUGGUGGGGUAAUGGCCUACCAAGGCGACGACGGGUAGCCGACCUGAGAGGGUGACCGGCCACACUGGGACUGAGACACGGCCCAGACUCCUACGGGAGGCAGCAGUGGGGAAUAUUGCACAAUGGGCGAAAGCCUGAUGCAGCGACGCCGCGUGAGGGAUGACGGCCUUCGGGUUGUAAACCUCUUUCAGCAGGGACGAAGCGCAAGUGACGGUACCUGCAGAAGAAGCACCGGCUAACUACGUGCCAGCAGCCGCGGUAAUACGUAGGGUGCAAGCGUUGUCCGGAAUUACUGGGCGUAAAGAGUUCGUAGGCGGUUUGUCGCGUCGUUUGUGAAAACCAGCAGCUCAACUGCUGGCUUGCAGGCGAUACGGGCAGACUUGAGUACUGCAGGGGAGACUGGAAUUCCUGGUGUAGCGGUGAAAUGCGCAGA
rnacentral:rRNA from 1 species